UACAGAGGUCCCAAGCGUUGUUCGGAUUCACUGGGCGUAAAGGGUGCGUAGGCGGUCGGGUAAGUCUGAUGUGAAAUCUCACAGCUUAACUGUGAAACUGCAUUGGAUACUAUUCGGCUUGAGAGUUGAAGGGGGGACUGGAAUUCUUGGUGUAGCAGUGAAAUGCGUAGAUAUCAAGAGGAACACCAGUGGCGAAGGCGAGUCCCUGGACAACUUCUGACGCUGAGGCACGAAAGCUAGGGGAGCAAACAGG
rnacentral:rRNA from 1 species